rnacentral:misc_RNA from 1 species
CAGAGUUCUUGUCGUGGACGGGGGCGGGAGUAAGAGGUGUGCAAUAUUGGGUGGCAAUCCUGUUGUCCAAGCUCAAAACAAUGGUUGGGCUGGUAUAGUUGUGAAUGGAUGUGUUAGAGAUGUGGAUGAAAUAAAUGGUUGUGAUAUCGGGGUAAGGGCUCUUGCGUCACAUCCAAUGAAAGCCUACAAAAAGCGGAUUGGAGAAAAGCACGUUCCGAUAACCGUAGCUGGGACAAGGAUCAUGGAUGG